AUGCUGCGCAACCGCGUGCCCCUCUAUUUCGUCCUCGCCGGCGGCGACCAGGACGAGGCCAGCCUGGUCACGGAGCUGAUCUCGUGCCUGGAGGCGGCGCUCGAGGACAAGUCCGCCGCGCUCGCCUUCCCGGGGCUGAGGCAGGUGUUCAUGCUCAACAACACGAGCGCCAUCGUGCGCUGCGCCGUGCGCUCCGACGCCAUCGGCAUGCUCCUGCCGCCUGGCUGGGCCGGCGCCCGCGAGGAGCGCAUGGAGGGCUACAUCAGAGAUUACCUGCGAGUCUCCUGGGCGCCCGUGGUGUCGCGCCUUGGCGGGAAGCCUGGAGCCAUGAACGCUCUGCGGCGACGGCACCCGCUGAGCGCGUUCCACUCGGCGUUCCAGAACGCGUGCAGCAUGCAGACAGGCUGGAAGGUGCCCAGCCCCGUGCUCAGGGGUGACCUCCGGAUGGCCGUGUCCGAGACCGUCGUGCCGGCGUACCGCCGGUAUCUGGACAGCCACCCGGAGGUUAACGUGCCCGCCGGCCGCGGCGCGGAGGAGCUCCGCCGUCACCUGUCGGAGCUGUUCGAAGGAUAG
rnacentral:rRNA from 1 species